GCGCCUCAACAUGAGUCUCUCUCUUUCCUUCCUCCAUCUUCUCCUCAGAUGUGUCGCAGCUCUGCGGGUUUAAUCUGAACUGUUCCACAGAGUCCAGUAAAUCCAAGUUUACUUUAGUGUCCGAGCAAAGAACACGUGGUUGUAAGUGUAGUUUUUAUUCUCCGUAGAAACUGGAGAUCAGUUUAUUUCCCGCCAGGCCUCAGGCGGCCACGUGGAGAGGACGACACGAUGGAGACGAGGGAAAAGAUGUUGAAGUCCCGGUGGCCGCUCCCAGUGAGAGUUGAACAUCCCUCAUGAUGAAUCACCAUGAUGUCUCCAGUAGGAGAUCAGAAUGUGCCUCUUCAAGAUCCUGGAAUCUGAAGCUAAAAGCCGUGAAGCAGGACGAUGCUCCUGCUGUUUGCUGCACUGGGUUUGGUUGGUGUUGUGAAAGAUUCCCUGGAAAGAGAUUCACCCAAAGGUCCAUCUGCUCAAUCACCUUGAGAUCUUUUGUCGUCCCCUUGACCCGAUCCUGACGUCUGCCAUGCAGUGAAUUUGACAGGUUUAGUUGGUGUCCUGAAAGAUUCCCUGGAAAGGGAUCCAGCCGAAGGUGUGGAUCUGCAGCAUCACAUUGAGAUCUUUAGUCGUCUCCUCGGCCUGAUCCUGAUGUCUGCCAUGCAGUGAAUUUGACAGGUUUAGUUGGUGUCCUGAAAGAUUCCCUGGAAAGGAAUUAAUCCGAAGUUGUGGAUCUGCAGCAUCACCUUGAGAGCUCUAGUCAUCUCCUCUGCCUGAUCCUGAUGUCUGCCAUGCAGUGAAUUUGACAGAUCACAGGAAUCAUGGAAACUUGUCUGAAGAUGGACGUCAUCAUAUUUGUUCAAAAGUAUUUCACUGUUUUAAAAAGUGCUUUUAUUAAAAACUUGUAUCAAAA